rnacentral:misc_RNA from 1 species
GGACGGUCGUCAUCGCAGCGGAUCCCUGGCGGCUGAGAAAUUCAUCUCCAACCCCUCCGCUGCGAUGACGACCGUCCCCGGCUCUCUGAUCUGGGAGCUUGUGAAGAACAACAACGCGUUCCUGGUGAAGCAGUUCGGGAAUGGCAACGCCAAGGUGCAGUUUAGCAAGGAGAGCAACAAUCUCUAUAACGUCCACUCCUUCAAGCACUCCGGGCUUGCGAAUAAGAAGACGGUUUCGAUACAGCCUGGGGGAAAGGAUCUGUCUGUUGUUCUUGCGACAACCAAAACUAAGAAGCAGAACAAGCCUGCAGCGCUGUAUCACAGGUCGGUCAUGAAGAAGGAGUUCAGCAAGAUGGCAAAGGCUGUCAAGAAUCAGGUAGCGGACAACUACUAUAGGCCUGAUCUGACCAAGGCUGCCCUUGCUAGGCUGAGUGUUGUUCAUCGUAGCCUCAAGGUCUCCAAGUCCGGUCCCAAGAAGAAGAACAGGCAGGGCUAUUAGUUUGUGGGUUAUCUGUGUGAUCUGAACUCUUAGCAUGAGUACCUUUGGUUAAGGAACCUUGUUUGUUUCCUGUUUUUCUUGUGGCGUAGUUAUAUCAGAUUAAUUUUCCUUGAGAUAUUGAAGUCACCUGUUUGCGAGGUUUUAGUUUUA